rnacentral:rRNA from 1 species
UACGAAGGGGGCUAGCGUUGCUCGGAAUGACUGGGCGUAAAGGGCGCGUAGGCGGUUCGUACAGUCAGACGUGAAAUUCCCGGGCUCAACCUGGGGGCUGCGUUUGAUACGUGCGGGCUUGAGUUCGGAAGAGGGUCGUGGAAUUCCCAGUGUAGAGGUGAAAUUCGUAGAUAUUGGGAAGAACACCGGUGGCGAAGGCGGCGACCUGGUCCGAGACUGACGCUGAGGCGCGAAAGCUAGGGGAGCAAACAGG